rnacentral:rRNA from 1 species
GGCGGCGUGCUUAACACAUGCAAGUCGAGCGGAAAGGCCCUUCGGGGUACUCGAGCGGCGAACGGGUGAGUAACACGUGAGUAACCUGCCCCGAACUUUGGGAUAACCCUCGGAAACGGGGGCUAAUACCGAAUACGACACGCCUUCGCAUGGGGUGCGUGUGGAAAGUUUUUCGGUUCGGGAUGGACUCGCGGCCUAUCAGCUUGUUGGUGGGGUAAUGGCCUACCAAGGCGACGACGGGUAGCCGGCCUGAGAGGGCGACCGGCCACACUGGGACUGAGACACGGCCCAGACUCCUACGGGAGGCAGCAGUGGGGAAUAUUGCACAAUGGGCGGAAGCCUGAUGCAGCGACGCCGCGUGAGGGAUGACGGCCUUCGGGUUGUAAACCUCUUUCAGCAGGGACGAAGCGCAAGUGACGGUACCUGCAGAAGAAGCGCCGGCCAACUACGUGCCAGCAGCCGCGGUAAGACGUAGGGCGCGAGCGUUGUCCGGAUUUAUUGGGCGUAAAGAGCUCGUAGGCGGCUUGUCGCGUCGAAUGUGAAAUCUCGGGGCUCAACUCCGAGCUUGCAUUCGAUACGGGCAGGCUAGAGUUCGGUAGGGGAGACUGGAAUUCCUGGUGUAGCGGUGAAAUGCGCAGAUAUCAGGAGGAACACCGAUGGCGAAGGCAGGUCUCUGGGCCGAUACUGACGCUGAGGAGCGAAAGCGUGGGGAGCGAACAGGAUUAGAUACCCUGGUAGUCCACGCUGUAAACGUUGGGCGCUAGGUGUGGGGGGCCUCUCCGGUUUCCUGCGCCGCAGCUAACGCAUUAAGCGCCCCGCCUGGGGAGUACGGCCGC